UCAAAACAAUGUAAUGAAAUGGGGGCAACACCAACAUGGCCAACCACUGCUCAGUCCCAGCAAAAAACUAAAUCCACACAAGAGGAGCACUCAGGACAGGAACGAGAACAGAAACCUUCAGUUUUAUGUUUAUUAUCAUCACUGGUCAUACUUACAAAGGGUGGAGGCAUGCACUUAUGAUUGAAGCUGGAUAAAAGGUCAGUCCAAUAAGAAUCACAGUGUCUAAAUGUGUUGUGCAGACUGGGAACAAACAUCUACAUUUUCUGACUUAUUAGCCCACAAAACAACAACAACAACAAAAAAGAAAAAAAACAAAAAUAAAA